rnacentral:rRNA from 1 species
GACGAACGCUGGCGGCGUGCUUAACACAUGCAAGUCGAACGGAAAGGCCCUGCUUUUGUGGGGUGCUCGAGUGGCGAACGGGUGAGUAACACGUGAGUAACCUGCCCUUGACUUUGGGAUAACUUCAGGAAACUGGGGCUAAUACCGGAUAGGAGCUCCUGCUGCAUGGUGGGGGUUGGAAAGUUUCGGCGGUUGGGGAUGGACUCGCGGCUUAUCAGCUUGUUGGUGGGGUAGUGGCUUACCAAGGCUUUGACGGGUAGCCGGCCUGAGAGGGUGACCGGCCACAUUGGGACUGAGAUACGGCCCAGACUCCUACGGGAGGCAGCAGUGGGGAAUAUUGCACAAUGGGCGGAAGCCUGAUGCAUCAACGCCGCGUGCGGGAUGACGGCCUUCGGGUUGUAAACCGCUUUCGCCUGUGACGAAGCGUGAGUGACGGUAAUGGGUAAAGAAGCACCGGCUAACUACGUGCCACCACCCCCGGUGAUACGUAGGGUGCGAGCUUGUCCCGAUUUUAUUGGGCGUAAAGGGCUCGAAGGUGGUUGAUUCGCUUCGAAAGUGUAAUCUUGGGGCUUAACCCUGAUCGUGCUUUCGAUACGGGUUGACUUGAGGAAGGUAGGGGAGAAUGGAAUUCCUGGUGGAGCGGUGGAAUGCGCAGAUAUCAGGAGGAACACCAGUGGCGAAGGCGGUUCUCUGGGCCUUUCCUGACGCUGAGGAGCGAAAGCGUGGGGAGCGAACAGGCUUAGAUACCCUGGUAGUCCACGCUGUAAACGGUGGGUACUAGGUGUGGGGUCCAUUCCACGGGUUCCGUGCCGUAGCUAACGCUUUAAGUACCCCGCCUGGGGAGUACGGCCGCAAGGCUAAAACUCAAAGGAAUUGACGGGGCCCCGCACAAGCGGCGGAGCAUGCGGAUUAAUUCGAUGCAACGCGUAGAACCUUACCUGGGUUUGACAUGGAUCGGGAGUGCUCAGAGAUGGGUGUGCCUCUUUUGGGGUCGGUUCACAGGUGGUGCAUGCCUGUCGUCAGCUCGUGUCGUGAGAUGUUGGGUUAAGUCCCGCAACGAGCGCAACCCUUGUUCACUGUUGCCAGCACGUUAUGGUGGGGACUCAGUGGAGACCGCCGGGGUCAACUCGGAGGAAGGUGGGGAUGACGUCAAGUCAUCAUGCCCCUUAUGUCCAGGGCUUCACGCAUGCUACAAUGGCUGGUACAGAGAGUGGCGAGCCUGUGAGGGUGAGCGAAUCUCGGAAAGCCGGUCUCAGUUCGGAUUGGGGUCUGCAACUCGACCUCAUGAAGUCGGAGUCGCUAGUAAUCGCAGAUCAGCAACGCUGCGGUGAAUACGUUCCCGGGGCU